GAUCCUGGCUCAGGAUGAACGCUGGCGGCGUGCCUAAUACAUGCAAGUAGAACGCUGAAGCUUGGUGCUUGCACCGAGCGGAUGAGUUGCGAACGGGUGAGUAACGCGUAGGUAACCUGCCUCUUAGCGGGGGAUAACUAUUGGAAACGAUAGCUAAUACCACAUAAAAGUCGAUAUCGCAUGAUAUUGAUUUGAAAGGUGCAAUUGCAUCACUAAGAGAUGG
rnacentral:rRNA from 1 species